UUAAAGUGCAUUUUGGUGCCUUUGAAGCUGGUGGAGAUUUCCAUUCCAGAACUGCAAUGAAUAUGUACCCGUAUUAUUUUAGCAUUUGAAAGUUCUGCUUCAGCUAUGUAUAAGAUAGUUCGUCCCACCACCGGAGAAUCACCUCGGGAUAUGCAUCUGGCAGAAUUAACUAAGAAAUAUUCAAAAGUUUCAUCUUUAGAAGCAGCCCAAAUAAGUUGGGAACACGAGUAUGAAAUUUCAUCUAAACAGGGUUACUUGAUUAGUCAUUGACUUGCUGUGCUAGCUGUGGCGGUGGAGAAACCACCGUGAGGCAACCGAGCUCCACCAUGAAAGAAUUUCAGCAAUCAACGGAUCUUGAACGAGCACACUCUUUCUUCCAAAGCAACAUCUACAUUGAUUUUGAAGAAGUUCCCUGGCCUCACUCUGACCUGAAGAAGACGUAACAGUUGAAGAACAAACAUAAUCAAACCUCUUGGUAAGUAUUCACUCAAUCAAUUCAUCGAUCACUUUCUCUAACAGUCGCAAUAAGAAUAUGUGGUGAUUUGAUGGAAUUUUUUGUAGAAUUACCCUGUGAUUUGUAAGACAUACAUGCAGUUAAUGUUUUUAAUAAUUUCAUGGUCGUGAUUGACACAUGUUUGCCUUUC